rnacentral:rRNA from 1 species
ACGUAGGGGGCGAGCGUUGUCCGGAUUCAUUGGGCGUAAAGAGCUCGUAGGCGGUUCGAUAAGUCGGCGGUGAAAGUCCGGGACCUAACUCCGGAAGGUCCGUCGAUACUGUCGAACUUGAGUCUGGUAGGGGAGUGCGGAAUUCCUGGUGUAGCGGUGAAAUGCGCAGAUAUCAGGAGGAACACCGGUGGCGAAGGCGGCACUCUGGGCCUGGCCUGACGCUCAGACGCGAAAGCAUGGGGAGCGAACGG